GCCGCCUGGCGGCGGGCGGGCGCCGUACCUGUGGUCAGGUUGUCAUUGAUCUUCAGCGGCACCCGCAGGAUGUACACCAGGAAGAGCAUGAUGAAGAACCACACCGUCCAGAGAAUCAGCUUUAAAAUUAUACAAGAAACCUCACUGCUGAUGAAGCCUUCAAUGCCAGUUUCUAUCAGAAGGAAAUCCAAGAACUCUGCUAAUACCGUGCUACUUCAGCAUCACAGAGACCUACAUUAACAAGAUGUGGAGAAAACCAAACAAUUUGCUUUUAAACAUGAGCAGAAACCAAAGGGCAAGAUGUAGAGAAAUGACGACAAGUGUUGAAUUUCAUGUUGAAACUAGAAUUGCUGGUAUUAAUCCUGAACCUAAAGGCAGCACAGUCUGGAAACACUCUUCAAACACGUCAUUAUGUAUUUGGCACAAGAAAGGGUGGUGUAUUUCACCUCUUCAGCUUUGACUGACACCAGGGCUUACAUACAAGGUACUGCUGGAUGAACAGUCUGCUAUAGUACAUAUUUGAAGACACAGUAAGGAAGAUGUAACAUCUAUCCUAAUAAUAAUAUUGUUAAAGGCCUACAGGAAUUUAGAGGGGAAAGUUAGAUUUUACCGUCAGCUGUUUCUUUCAGAGCAGACAGAUCUCUGUCCUACUAAGUGCAGUCAAGCUGCAGCUGAUCCUUAAUCACAGAAUCACAGAAUGACCAGGGUUGGAAGGGACCUCAAGGACCAUGAAUCUCCAACCCCCUGCCACAUGCAGGGCCACCAAUGCCCCCAUUUAAUAUUAGACCAGGCUGCCCAGGGCCGUCCAACCUGGCCUUGAACACCUCCAGGGACGGGGCAUCCACAACCUCUCUGGGCAGCCUGUUCCAGCACCUCACCACUCUCUCUGUAAAGAAUUUCCCCCUCACAUCCAACCCAAAUCUUCCCUCCCUCAACUUAAAACCAUUUCCCCUUGUCCUUCAGUUAUCUACCCUUUCAAAGAGUUGAUUCCCCUCCUGUUUGUAGGCUCCUUUUAGGCACUGAAAGGCUGCAGUGAGGUCACCCCACAGCCUUCUUUUCUCCAGGCUGAACGAGCCCAGAUCCCUCAGCCUGUCUUCGUAGGGGAGGUGCUCCAGUCCCCUGAUCAUCUUUGUGGCCCUCCUCUGGACCCUCUCCAACAGCUCCCCGUCUUUUCUGUACUGGGGGCUCCAGACCAGGACACAGUACACCAGAUGGGGCCUCACAAGAGCAGAGUAGAGGGGGACAAUCACCUCCCUGCCCCUGCUGGCCACCCCUCUUCUGAUGGAGCCCGGGAUGCUUUCUGAGCUGCAAGAGCACCCUGCUGGCUCAUGUUAAGCUUUCCAUCUAUCAAGACUCCCAGGUCCUUCUGUGCAGGGCUGCUUUCAAGCACCGCUCCUUCCAGUCUGUAUGGAUGCCUGGCAUUCCUCCGGCCCAAGUGCAGAACUGUGCACUUUGCUGUGUUGAACGCCAUCAGGUUCAUCCAGGCCCACCUUUCAAGCCUGUCGAGGUCCCUCUGAAUGGCAUCCCUUCCUUCCACCGUGUCAACCGCACCACUCAGCUUGGUGUUAUCCUGCCACACUGUGGAAUGAAAACCAAGAUAUACUUUUCAUUCAAAGAUUUCAAGAUUCCUAACACUAUUGUUCAGAAUUAUUCCAAUCCAGUCUCUGACCUUUGGACUCCUUUGCCACAGCCAUUUUUUGGCCAACUAUGGUUCUGCUUUCUCACGUUCAUGUUUUCACAAUAAAGUGAAAGACUUGUCAAGUUCACUGGUCUCACAUCAUCUGCAAACUGGUUUAACAAUGCAGCACCAUUUGAAAGGGAAGAGGAAAGUUGACUUUUCUUCCUGGCACUUCAUUUAAAACUGCUAAUGGCUCCUGACAGCUCAGAUUUCUACUCCAGUUGUUUGUUCAGGUAUCAACCUGAAGUGUCACAGCAAAGCUGGAAGAGUGCUUAGAGGUCUGUUCAUCUUUGGAACACUGAUUUAUUUUGUAAUUAGCUUACCUCUUUCCUCGCUUUCGAAAUGAUAUGAAAGUUAUAAAUGCAAGUUGUAAGAAAGAUGGGAGAAACAAGUGCUGGGUCAACAUUCAGACUGCAGGUACAGAAGAUUCACAGAGGUUUUGGGACAAUACCCUUGUUUUUGACUGGAUUAAGAUAGACUGAAAUAGGAAGAACAGCUCAAGCUCCUCAGAGCUGCAGUGUCAGACUCCUUUCUCCAGGCUGAACAGGAGACUUGGAAGAACCACAGUUGAGCACACCCUUGUACCUCUUAUGAUCUUGGUGACAUAUCUUGUAUUAUCACUGUAUGUAGUGCCUUACCUAGGAGAAGGCAGUAUGAUGGCAUCUAUGCAAGGGCACAGCUGGAGCCCUUGCUGGCACCUCAAUGGCACAGCAAGGUUUUGAACAUUCCUACCACUGAAAACCUAAUGUCCAGAUACACAGCUUGUGCAACAGAUGCUCAGUUCUUAGAUUGUACACAUCCUACAGUGCUGUACUUCAGAAAGUCAGCACACGGGACAGGCAGACGGCUGAAGAACUUGAAGAGAAAACAUUUAAUAGUCAUCGUACGCCAAGGAAAUCAGUAGUUUUCUUCCACUUAGAGAACUUGUGGCUGUCAUUUUUGUCAGAUGCAUAAAUGCUUCAUUUGCAAAAGAGGAAGUAGCCUGGUUUCCUGGGAUCUGUUUACCCCAUGAAGUCCCUUCUUUAUCUCAAUGGACAAAAACUCUUUUCUGCACCUAAGAAAUGUUCCACAGGCACCAUGUAAAGUAACUUUUGCCUCACCUCAGGCAGGCUUGCAACCUAUUCAUCCCAGCAACCAGCAUUCCAUUAGAGAAAAUUUUUAUCUGCAACAAGAGGCUGUGAACGCUGCAGGUCUUGCAUUUGUAUUGUUGCACCAAAGCCAUACCUCAGCCUCCUGUGUUAUCAUUCCUAAGUGAUUUCUGAAGUAAGUUUGAAGGGUAACUCAAACGUUGACUUGCAAAAUGGAGAACUACGUAUCUAUUCAGAGAACUGCUCCAAAUUCUUUCACUUCCAUCGACAGAACUGUACUUUGUACACACUUGACAUUGAAAUAUAUUAAGUUCAUUCAAAUAUAAAACCAAAAGGAGCAUUUUGGAAUGAUAUGGAUUUGACAUGCGGACUGUUCAGUGGAUGAGGAACUGGUGUUCAGAGGCUCAGUGUCUGGAUGGAGAUCAGUGACAAGUGAUGUCCCUGCAGGGGUCAGUACUGGGACCUGCGCUCUUUAACAUUUUCAUCAGUGACGUCGACAGUGGGUUUGGGUGCACCCUCAGCAAGCCUGUGGAUGACACCAAGCUGCGGGGUGCAGCUGACACAACCAAAGGACAGGAUGCCAUCCAGAGAGACCCAGACAGACUUGAGCAAUUUGCCCAGAACAAUCUCAUGAGGCUCAACAAGUGCAAGGUCUUGCACCUGGGUCAUGGCAACCCCCACUGUCAGUUCAGGCUGGGGGUGUAAGGGAAGAGCACAGCCCUGAAGAGGAUGAAUUGGGGGCACAGAUGGAUGGCAAGCUGGACAUGAACCAGCAAUGUGCCCUUGCAGCCAACUGGGCUGCAUCCACAGUAGCAUGGCCAACACAGCGAGGAAGGUGAUCCUACCCCUCUACUCUGCACUGGUGAGGUCUAACUGGGAGUACUGUGUCCUCAUAUGGAGUCCUCAGUACAAGAGAAAUGUGGAUCUGAUGGAGUGCACCCAAAGGAAGGCCACAAAAAUGAUGCAAGGGAUGGAACAGCUCUCUGAGGACAGGCUGAGAGCUGGGGCUGCUCAGCCUGGAGAAGAGAAGGCUGCAAGGUGACCUGAGAGCACCCUUCAGUAUCUAAAGGGGCGCUGCAAGAAGUAACUGGACAGACUCUUUAGUGGGGUCUGUGGGACAGGACAACAGGAAAUGGUCUCAAACUAAAAGAGGGCAGAUUUAGACUGGAUACAAGAACAGUUUCUUAUGAUGAGUGAUGAAGCACUGCAACAGCUGCCCAAAGGGGUGCUGGGUGCCCUGCCCCUGCAGACACCCAAGGUGAGGCUGGACGAGGCUGUAGGUGUCCCUGUUCAUUGCAGGGGAACUGGUCUAGAUGGCCUCUAAAGGUUCCUUCCAACUCAAGCGAUUCUAUGAUUUCCUACAAGUGAUUAUUAAUAAGGGUUGACUCCUGCUCCAAAGAAAGCCAACAACAAAAACCACAACCAACCAACCGACUCCUUAUUGCAGGCAAAUUUGAAAGCCCCAAGUCUAGAAGCUGUUUCAAAGCUCAAGAUACUUCAAACAACCAGCAGACAGGCAACAAUCCCUACAAGUGCCUCCUAAUUAAAAAUAAAAGCCUGAUUUCUUUGCCAAUGCACAAUUGCAUUAAUUUGCAGGAAAGGAUGCAUGAUGAAGUCCAAAUGUUUUUCACAGUAUAUAUUCUUAUGAGCCAAAUAUUACCAACUCUUAUCCUCUCUUGUGAGGAGUACAUGGGUAAAAACCAUAUUGUGCACCCCAAAUUAUAGAUAAGCCAGUCAAAGCAACAUUACCAGUAAGAAAGCAUGACGAGUAUUAACUCUUCUGCUCCUUUCCUCCAGCUAUUCAAAGAAAUUGACUUUUUUUAACUGGAUGCAAAUGUUCACCUUUUACAAAGAAGGAAUGUAUUGUUCAGAUUUAUCAUGGAGUUGCCACUGUCAAAAACUGACACUUCUGCAAGGUUAUGAGCAAACAAAGUUUAAUCUAAAUCUAGUUCACAAGAUGCAAGAUUUCAGUUUUUCCAGUAAACAAAUGUGGCAGAAGCUGCACCUGCAUCAGCAAGUACCUCAGUAUGAUAGGAGAGGAUCCAUAAAAUCAAACUGUUGGUGCUGAACCUCUACACCUACACUGUAUUAAGUCUGGAAAUUUGAAAGCUAGAUUGAAUGUGAUUGUGCAGACAUCCUCAACACACGGGUGGCUUCACGUUGUCUGAAGGACAAACCACUGCUAUGGCCCCAUAUCCCUCUGAGGAGCUGGAGUUUGGUGCAAAGCCAGAGCGCACCUCGCCGUGCCGAUUCCUCCACAAGGAAGUGAACUCAAUGUGCCAAAGUGUGCAAAACACAAGAAACAGAAGUGAUGUAACUAGAAUUGCAGUGACGGUAAAGCCUCCUUCUACUUGUAGUGUGAGAACAGAGUCAUACAAAAAAAGGGUUGUUCAGGAGAAUUUGAAAGCAGAAGUGUCACCCCUGUUUCUUGUGUUCACAAGGAGCAAUUAUUUACCUGUGUAUAAGUUAAAAACAUCCUCAGUGGAAGGGGGCACUGAGACGCAUAAGAUAACACAUUUCAUAAACACAAACCUUUUACAAGUCCAUAUCAUAAGCCAUAAUACCUAGUACAGCAACACUGCGCAAUACAAAGCUUGUCUUUAUAUUUAAAAAAUAGAAUAUAAACAAGAAUUAGUUCACAUUGACACAAUUGCCACAGCAAAAUUUCUCAGAAAGUGCUUUACCUACACAAAAUAUCUUAAAGCCCAUCAAAUAAGUUGUAAAGUUCUACAAUUUAACAAUACAAAUUAGAAAACAAAAAUGCAAGUGACAUCCAAAACUUUUGAGAGAAAUUAAGAACUCACGAUGCACCAUCUACCUCAACUGAAUUCCUGUCAGCUUCCUCUGGGGAGUCAUUACUCCCAAAUAUGACAUAAGGUACAAUCCAGAAAAAGUAAUGGAAUAUUUGUUUUACUUCUAAAUUGCUUUACUGACACUGUAACUGUAUGGAUUUGAUGUGCAAGGCAUAGAACUCCUCAAUACGUUUAGUCUGAGAUAAAAAGGUACAAUACAAAUUUAUUCAACUAAAUCUGUGGCUGAAUUGAACACCUUACAGGGAUGCCACUUUUUGAAGACAGGAAUUGAGACUAUCAUGGAACUGAAUGAACAGAGAGGAAAGCACAACCACGGAGUACAUCACAAUAAAAUACCUCUUUAUUAGGAAUAUAUUUAGAAUUAGCCUUUUAUUUCAGAUAAGAAAAAUAGCAUUCUGACUUCCAGCCAGCGCUGAUUCUGAUCACACACAACAUUCUAACAGCUAGAGUAGUUAUCUGCACCACUGCUGCCCACGGACAGUUCUCCUAACUGUCCAUUCACUGCCUUUUACUCUUCUUAAGUAUGCAGAAGAGAAUACUGUAGCAAGGCUCGUAUUUAGAUCUUAAGGAACAUGGACAGACUGACUAGACUGCGACUUUGGAUGUGUCAUCAGCUCGUGUACAACUUCACAAGCUUUCUUUAAAUAAGAAGAACAAGAUGGUUCAAGAGCUGAUCUGUAAAGACAACUAAGAGGACAAUUCUUCAGGAAGGCUGCUGUAGAACAAAGCUCAUUCUUCUACUGGACAGUUCAGAACUGUAAAGUAGCAACAAUUUCAAGAACUUCAGUCAGCUCCAUCCCCCUUUAAAAGAAAACACUGACGAACAGCAUACAGGGGCACUGCUAUUCCAAUCCAAAUAGAAACCUACCUUUGGUGAACAUUUUUAUACUCAGUACAAGAUCAGAUUCUCUCUCUUGCUAUGCUGUAACUUAUGGUUUAAAGUGAUUAACAGGACCAUGCUGUAAACAAAAAUAACCCUUGUGUAAGCUUCACUUUUUGGAGUCUGCAUAAGUAACUAACGUCUAGAAAAAAGAAGCUGUUUGUUUUUCCAUCGUGAGCACAGAGUUGCAUAGCAUCUUUUGGAACAGGCUGUCAUCCAACUAAAAAUGAAAUCCAUGCAUUCACUGAAGUGAAAUACUUAAUUCGUAACAAAUUUUGCCUUUUCUUUUAAAAUUCAUUUCCAAUAUCAGAUCUAUCAGAUGGGGAAAGUAUUCUCCAGAAAAAAACCACGUUAUUUUUAUCUUGCAGUUUCUUCCAUAUGAAGCUAUAAGAUACACAUUUCAAGAAGAGUUCCAUAGGCAGAUGCUUCUAAAAUGUGGGUGGAAACCAUGAAUGAUGACAGUACUACAAUAGAUCUCCAAAUACACUGGAAAUAGCCAACAGGCCACAAAUUUGUGGCUGUUUUAAGCAACACUCUAAAAAUAAAUACCAAAAAUAGGCUCUGUCAGGAAGCAAUUUGAUACUCAAAUAAAUAGAAAAUUUGCAUUUUAAUGUCACAUUGAAUUUUAGUACAUUUCAAUCCAAGGAAAAAAAAAAUGACAGACAUAGUAACGAGUACAGGGUUGUAUAUAUAUUACAAUAUGCCUUGUUAUAAUACACUUGUGGCUUUAUGACAAAAACUUUAGGGCAGAUGGAAUUUAAGCUCAUUUAAGUAACUGUCAGGAACAAAGCAUUAAGUGGAUUUCUGGAGUAAGUACUUUUAUUUAAUUUCAAAACCUUAAA